rnacentral:rRNA from 1 species
CAAUAGCGUAUAUUUAAGUUGCUGCAGUUAAAAAGCUCGUAGUUGGAUUUCGGGUGGGAAUGGCCGGUCCGCCGUUUCGGUGUGCACUUGCUACGCCCACCUUGCUGCCGGGGACGUGCUCUUGAGUUCACGCUCGGGACACGGAGUCGGCGAGGUUACUUUGAGUAAUUAGAGUGUUCAAAGCAGGCCUACGCUCUGAAUACAUUAGCAUGGAAUAACACGAUAGGACUCUGGCCUAUCUUGUUGGUCUGUAGGACCGGAGUAAUGAUUAAGAGGGACAGUCGGGGGCAUUCGUAUUUCAUUGUCAGAGGUGAAAUUCUUGGAUUUAUGAAAGACGAACUACUGCGAAAGCAUUUGCCAAGGAUGUUUUCAUUAA